UAGCAAUAUUCCGGAGCGGGAGUGGCGCAAGGGUGCGUAACACGUGGGUCAUUUGCCGUGAAGCUGGGAACAACUCGUUGAAAGACGAGCUAAUACCCAAUGUGCUCCGCAAGGAGUAAAGCCGGGGACCGCAAGGCCUGGCACUUUACGAUAAGCCCGCGGCCUAUCAGCUAGUUGGCGGGGUAAAAGCCCACCAAGGCUAAGACGGGUAGCUGGUCUGAGAGGACGACCAGCCACACUGGAACUGAGACACGGUCCAGACACCUACGGGUGGCAGCAGUCGAGAAUUUUUCACAAUGGGCGAAAGCCUGAUGGAGCGACGCCGCGUGGGGGAUGAAGGGCUUCGGCUCGUAAACCCCUGUCAUUCGCGAACAAAGGUGCCGGCCUAAUAUGCCGUCGUCUGAUAGUAGCGGAAGAGGAAGGGACGGCUAACUCUGUGCCAGCAGCCGCGGUAAUACAGAGGUCCCAAGCGUUGUUCGGAUUCACUGGGC
rnacentral:rRNA from 1 species